UCCUACGGGAGGCAGCAGUGGGGAAUCUUGGACAAUGGGGGAAACCCUGAUCCAGCGAUGCCGCGUGUGUGAAGAAGGCCUUCGGGUUGUAAAGCACUUUAGGUGGGGAAGAAAGGUAGCGAGUGAAUAACUUUCUGCUGUGACGGUACCCACAGAAUAAGCACCGGCUAACUCUGUGCCAGCAGCCGCGGUAAU
rnacentral:rRNA from 1 species